rnacentral:rRNA from 1 species
UACGUAGGGCGCGAGCGUUGUCCGGAUUUAUUGGGCGUAAAGAGCUCGUAGGCGGCUUGUCGCGUCGAAUGUGAAAACUCGGGGCUCAACCCCGCGCUUGCAUUCGAUACGGGCAGGCUCGAGUUCGGUAGGGGAGACUGGAAUUCCUGGUGUAGCGGUGAAAUGCGCAGAUAUCAGGAGGAACACCGGUGGCGAAGGCGGGUCUCUGGGCCGAUACUGACGCUGAGGAGCGAAAGCGUGGGGAGCGAACAGG